CCAGACUCCUACGGGAGGCAGCAGUGGGGAAUAUUGCACAAUGGGGGAAACCCUGAUGCAGCGACGCCGCGUGAGCGAAGAAGUAUUUCGGUAUGUAAAGCUCUAUCAGCAGGGAAGAAAAUGACGGUACCUGAGUAAGAAGCUCCGGCUAAAUACGUGCCAGCAGCCGCGGUAAUACGCAUGGAGCAAGCGUUAUCCGGAUUUACUGGGCGUAAAGGGAGCGUAGGCGGCCUGCCAAGUCUGAUGUGAAAGCCCGCGGCCCAACCGCGGGACUACAUUGGGAACUACCGGGCUGGAGUGCCGGAGAGGUAGGCGGAAUUCCUAGUGUAGCGGUGAAAUGCGUAGAUAUUAGGAGGAACACCAGUGGCGAAGGCGGCCUACUGGACGGUGACUGACGCUGAGGCUCGAAAGCGUGGGGAGCAAACAGGAUUAGAUACCCCAGUAU
rnacentral:rRNA from 1 species